rnacentral:rRNA from 1 species
GACGAACGCUGGCGGCGUGCUUAACACAUGCAAGUCGAACGGAAAGGCCCUGCUUUUGUGGGGUUCUCGAUUGGCGAACGGGUGAGUAACACGUGAGUAACCUGCCCUUGACUUUGGGAUAACUUCAGGAAACUGGGGCUAAUACCGGAUAGGAGCUCCUGCUGCAUGGUGGGGGUUGGAAAGUUUCGGCGGUUGGGGAUGGACUCGCGGCUUAUCAGCUUGUUGGUGGGGUCGUGGCUUACCAAGGCUUUGACGGGUAGCCGGCCUGAGAGGGUGACCGGCCACAUUGGGACUGAGACACGGCCCAGACUCCUACGGGAGGCAGCAGUGGGGAAUAUUGCACAAUGGGCGGAAGCCUGAUGCAGCAACGCCGCGUGCGGGAUGACGGCCUUCGGGUUGUAAACCGCUUUAGCCUGUGACGAAGCGUGAGUGACGGUAAUGGGUAAAGAAGCACCGGCUAACUACGUG